AAACGCCCGGGAAUUACAAGCGCAAGCUUAAAACCCAAAGGAUUUGACGGUGUCCCACCCACCUAGAGGAGCCUGUUCUAUAAUCGAUAAUCCACGAUUCACCUCACCAUUUUUUGCCUCUCAGCCUGUAUACCUCCGUCGACAACCUACCCUUUGAAUGCCCUAAAGUAAGUUUAACAGGCCUCACCCGCCAAUACGUCAGGUCAAGGUGCAGCCUAUAAAAUGGAAAGCUACGGGCUACAAUUUCUAACAUAGAACAAACGAAAAACUACAUGAAACAUAGUCAUGAAGGCGGAUUUAGUAGUAAAAGAAAGAUAAUAAACUUCUUUUAACUCGGCCCUGGGACGUGUACAAACCGCCCGUCACCCUCUUUAGUAGCUUCACCCAAUUCUUUAAAAUUCUACUAGCACAACAGAAGAGGCAAGUCGUAACAUGGUAAGUGUACUGGAAAGUGCACUUGGUAAAACAAAGUGUAGCUUAACUAAAGCUCUUCGCUUACACCGAAAAAAUGUCUACUUAAUCUAGACCACUUUGAGCCCUAAAUCUAGCUUACCUAAUUUGUAUACAGCCCCCACGCUAACCCAACACAAUAAAACAUUUUAAUUGUUUAGUAAAGGAGAU
rnacentral:rRNA from 1 species